UACAGAGGGUGCAAGCGUUAAUCGGAAUUACUGGGCGUAAAGCGUGCGUAGGUGGUUUGUUAAGUCAGGCGUGAAAUCCCUGGGCUCAACCUGGGAACUGCGCUUGAUACUGGCAGACUAGAGUGUGGUAGAGGGUAGUGGAAUUCCGCAUGUAGCAGUGAAAUGCGUAGAUAUGCGGAGGAACACCAGUGGCGAAGGCGGCUACCUGGACCAACACUGACACUGAGGCACGAAAGCGUGGGGAGCAAACAGG
rnacentral:rRNA from 1 species